GUCUCAAUAGUGUAGUGGUUAACACACGUGCGUCGGAUAGGCGCGAGACGUGGGUUCGAAUUCCGUUCGAGCCG
rnacentral:tRNA from 1 species